ensembl:lncRNA
AUCGGCGUCCAAUGGAGCUGGAUUGAGUUCUGGUUCUGGAUCAGGUCCAGCGCUCACUUUCACAUCACCUUCGCCCUCCCACCCGGACAUAACCAUCAAGUCCGAGUCCUCCUCCGGCCUCCACCUUUCCUCGCCUCCUUCCCUCCUGGCCCCGGCUCUCCUGCUCGAUCCCCUUGCCGCUCUGCACCAGUCGAACAAAGGCGGGCCUCCCCCCGGCCACGCCUCCUCCCUGUCCCCGUCGCCUCGGGCCACCCAGUCCCCCCCGAAGCAGACCCUCUUCUCCCCUUGCGUGGACGUCUUUGAGCCGGGACCUCCCAGCUGGGCGGUCGGCGAGGAGGAGCGGGAGGAGGACGAGGAGGAAGAGGAAGAGGAAGAGGAAGAGGAAGAGCUCCGUCCUCGCCAACGAUUCGCCGACGCAGACCCGAGGGCCCGCCCCGAACGGCAGGAAGUAGGCGGGACAGGACCUUUGGCCCUGGUCGUCAAGGAAACGAUCUGGAAAAAAGCCGGGAAAGCCGGUGAGGCAGCGCGUCAUUUCACAGUGCGGUGAGGCGGUUCGGGUGAGUUCUACCUGGGUGGAACAGGUCCGGUCGGGCCCAGAGUCGGGGGUCGUGGUGGAUCGCCCACAUGUUCACCAGAACACGAGUCCCCCGGUGGACAGGGUGACCGCCGAUGCUACGAGAGAGAGAGAGUUCACCAAAUACUCAACAUGUUCUCGCACUUGGGGGCCUCCUGUACCUGCUGUCCGUCAUGGCGCUGUGGGGGAUCAGAACCGGGCUCACGGGGCGGAUCCUCAUGCCCUCGUUGAUGACACAGUCCAGGUAGGGCAGCCGGCCGCGGUCCGCCAUGGACACCGCCCGCUCGCCACCCACCUGCUCGUCCAGCUCCUCCUGAACGCGCUGCUGCACCUGCAGGGGGCGGGGCAUAGGUAGAAGUACUCAUACCACACUCUCAUAUACUACAGUAAAAGUAGAAAUAUCAGAUCUGUUUUAAUCAGAAGUUCUAGUGGUAGUAACAAUAGUAGUAGUAUAGUUGUUGCAGUAAUUAUCAGCAGCUCAGGAUAGUACAGUAGUAGGUAGCAUUAGUAAUAGUAGUACUAGGAAUAGUAGUAGUACUAGUAGUACUCCUACCUCCGGGUGGUGCAGCAGGUACACCAGGAUCCACAGCAGCGUUGUGGAUGUCGUCUCCACGCCGGCGCCGAAGGCCUCGGCCGCCGUCAUGAGGACGUGGUCAUCUGUGAUGCCCUCGUCCUCGCAGCCGGAGGGCGUCUUGCCCUUGAGCAAGGCAUCCAGGAGGUCACGGGGGUCGCCCUCGCUCAGCGAGGCCUGGAUUCAGAUUGCAGGACUUGGUCACCGGUAAAGUUCACAAGUGCAUGUAUGCACAGAUGUAAAGCUACCUUGUGCUCCUCUAGUUUCCGUGACAACAGCCGGUCUCUGACGAGGAUGCAGUCCUUCAGUCUCCUGAGACACCUGUUGGGAAACACCUGGGGGACGAGGGCAGACUGAACCUCUGUCCUAAUGAGGACAGACAUGAGACAUCCACAGUGAGGACAUACCUUCAUCCAGGGGAAGAUGUCCACGAGGCCUCCGGCGGCAAUCGUCUGCACGAUGCCGUCGUUGUACCGCAUGACUUCCUGCAGCUCGGCGUCGCCGUGGCGAUACGUGGCAUUGAAAACCAGCGUGCACACGACGUUGGUAACGGCCCGGGUCACUGCGGCCGUCGGGUCGAAGGGUUGGCGCCCGCCAGACAACAGCUCCGCACACAGGCUGUCCACCGAGGACAUGACUGGAGAGACACGGAACAUAAAAAACACAACUUUAACGAGUCCUUUC